CCUACGGGAGGCAGCAGUGAGGAAUAUUGGUCAAUGGGCUAAGGCCUGAACCAGCCAAGUCGCGUGAGGGAAGAAUGUCCUAUGGAUUGUAAACCUCUUUUGUAAGGGAGUAAAGUCACCCACGUGUGGGUGUUGGAGAGUACCUGAAGAAAAAGCAUCGGCUAACUCCGUGCCAGCAGCCGCGGUAAUACGGAGGAUGCGAGCGUUAUCCGGAUUUAUUGGGUUUAAAGGGUGCGUGGGCGGGUUAUCAAGUCAGCGGGAAAAUCGUGGGGCUCAACUCCAUCCAGCCGUUGAAACUGGUGAUCUUGAGUGGGCGAGAAGUAGGCGGAAUGCGUGGUGUAGCGGUGAAAUGCAUAGAUAUCACGAAGAACUCCGAUUGCGAAGGCAGCAUACCGGCGCCCGACUGACGCUGAGGCACGAAAGCGUGGGUAUCGAACAGGAUUAGAUACCCUUGUAGUC
rnacentral:rRNA from 1 species